UCUCUCUCUCUCUCUCACUCCACCUUAAGUCGCCGUAGUUGUGGGUCAUGGAAUUUACAGUUCAAAAACUAAUGGCAACUGUUGUAAAACUAAUGGCAGCGGGUCGUAGAAACUGUGUUUGAAAAACUAAUUUCCUGUUCAAGAAUUUGUUCUUGUUUGUUUGAAACUGUGUUUAUGAUUUUGAUAGAAACCUGUUGUAAUUGAUUCUGUGAGUAUUGUGAUGUAAUAAGGAUUCGGUGGAAUUGUGAAUGACAGUUGUAAGAAUGAAAAUGAGAGACGUAGGAAAGUUGUUUGAUGAAAGAUUUUAAAGAGUCACAAGUUAAAAUCACAUUCAAACAAACUCCACUCAUUGCCUCAAUAUUUGCUUGGACACAGGGGCUAGAACAUAGACCUGAUGAUAUGUACCAGCCAAAUCCAUACAACACUACUACUAUUUUAGCAAGCUUUAUGGCUGAAGGAACGACAUGAUCAGUCAAGAACGUGUAAUGGCUGAAGAAGCAAAAUUUAAUGUUAUGGAAAAGAAGUACAAGGGAACAUUAAAAGUUUUAUUAUUGUCAUGGUUUUGUAUUGUUGUGGUUUGUGUUGUACUUAUUUUGUACCCAAACGAGAAUCAUGUAUGUCAAGUUAUGCUAAGAUCCCAUGGUUAUUAGCCCGUUCGUAAUUGCAUUUUUUAGUUGUUCAAAGAAGUUUGUUUGGAAUGUAUUUAGACAAUUUUUAAAUGUAAUGAAAGACUAAAUGUAUUACAUUUU